AUUGAACGCUGGCGGCAGGCCUAACACAUGCAAGUCGAACGAGUGGCGGACUGGUGAGUAAUGUCUGGGAAACUGCCCGAUGGAGGGGGAUAACUACUGGAAACGGUAGCUAAUACCGCAUACCAUCGGAUGUGCCGUGGUUGGAUUAGCUAGUAGGUGGGGUAACGGCUCACCUAGGCGACGAUCCCUAGCUGGUCUUAGAGGAUGACCAGCCACACUGGAACUGAGACACGGUCCAGAAUCCUACGUGAGGCAGCAGUGGGGAAUCUUGCACAAUGGGCGCAAGCCUGAUGGAGCCAUGCCGCGUGUAUGAAGAAGGCCUUCGGGUUGUAAAGUACUUUCAGUGAGGAGGCGUUAUUCGCAGAAGAAGCACCGGCUAACUCCGUGCCAGCAGCCGCGGUAAUAC
rnacentral:rRNA from 1 species